rnacentral:rRNA from 1 species
AUUGAACGCUGGCGGCAUGCUUUACACAUGCAAGUCGAACGGCAGCGCGGGCUUCGGCCUGGCGGCGAGUGGCGAACGGGUGAGUAAUACAUCGGAACGUGCCCAGUAGUGGGGGAUAGCUCGGCGAAAGCCGGAUUAAUACCGCAUACGACCUGAGGGUGAAAGCGGGGGAUCUUCGGACCUCGCGCUAUUGGAGCGGCCGAUGGCAGAUUAGCUAGUUGGUUGGGUAAAGGCCUACCAAGGCGACGAUCUGUAGCUGGUCUGAGAGGACGACCAGCCACACUGGGACUGAGACACGGCCCAGACUCCUACGGGAGGCAGCAGUGGGGAAUUUUGGACAAUGGGCGAAAGCCUGAUCCAGCAAUGCCGCGUGUGUGAUGAAGGCCUUCGGGUUGUAAAGCACUUUUGGCGGGAACGAAAAGGACUGUGCCAAUACCACGGUUCGAUGACGGUACCCGCAGAAUAAGCACCGGCUAACUACGUG